rnacentral:lncRNA from 1 species
UAAGGAAUUGACGCAGGACGAGGCCCUAGCCUACGUGGCCGGACACUGGCCCGGAAGCCCUUUCUCUUCUUAUUGGGCCUUUUCCCUUUUCUCCUUGUUUCUCCGCCUGUAUAACGCAUGUACCAUGUUGUUUAGAGGGAGAGGGUUUGGAUUCAAGACAGAGUCUAGUUGCCUGUCGCCUGCCUCUGUGGCUCGCCGGUGGGGAGGGCCUGUGUGGCUUCUCCAAAGGCCCCGUCGCCCCGGUUGGGUUGGUCGGAGGACCCCGCUGCUCGCGGUUAAGAGCCCUAUCGUCACCAUCACCUCCGCCGCUGCCGCCAUCACCGCCGCCGCUGCCGCUGCCUGCAUCCGCUGUUCGUCAUCGGAUCCAUCCGCUUGCUGUCGCCGCCGCCGUCGCCGCCGUUGUCUCCGCGCCGCUGCCGUCGUCGCCGUCAUCGCCGCCCUCGUCGCCGCCCUCACUCACCACUGCCGUCAUCAACCGACCUCGCCGUCCGCGUCCAUCCACCACUGCCCGCGUCUCUCCGCCGGCGAUAACCAUCGCCCACACCGUCCGCCGCCGAGCGCUCCCCCCCCGGUGCCCUUCGCCGUGGGCAUCAGUCGUCGUCACCCUCCAUUGCCCGUCGCCGCUCCCGCCGUAACCGCCCUGUCGGUUCGCUGCCGUCGGGUCGGUAAUCCCCGAUUUAGGGCUCAAACGCCCUGAAUCGCGGAUCCGGUACGCGGGUUCCUUCGGGCCUGAUCUCUCUCACCGGACCGCCUCAUCCGGCCCCAGUCCUCGCCAGCUCGGGUCCCCGGACCCGUCCGGUGUGAGCCGCCGAUCGGCUGGGCCCGUGCCCAGAUCUUCAUCGCCCGCCUGAGCCAAGGUCCAACGAGUCGCCCACGACCUGGUCAACGGUCAACCACUCGGUCAACAGUUAUUUUGGGUCAACGAUCAACUAUCACUCCCAUGGCCCCAAACCUCUUUGUAGAUCAUUGGACACCGUUGACCAGCCAUUGGAUGCUGACCUCUCAUCAUCCAAUGGUUACAAUUCACACACAUGGGAUAGAGAUUAUUCUCUCUCUCCCUAAGAGAGUCUCCCACUCUCGACUGUCGCAUUCACUCCCAUCACCACUAUCACCUUUGUCUUCUUUUUGUCAAUGAGACCAACUUCGUCAUUGUUGGGUUCACCACCACUAGCUUCAUCACGAAUCUACUACCAUCAACUUCACUAUCACUAUCUCUUUGUCCUCCCACUCUCAAAGAUAGAUAAUGUUGCUGCCAACUUUACCACUGCUGCCUCUCUCUUUCUCUCCCCCUCUAUCUCUCACUCACUCACUCACUCACUCACUCACUCACUCACUCUCUUUACUAUGUUGCCUAAUUUCAAGAACAUUUGAGGACAAUCUUUCUAGAGUAUUUUUAGUGGAGGUAAAAUUAAUUCAUAAAAUGUAUAAAUUUAUAAAUUCUUAUUUGUUAUUCUUAUUCAAUUCUUACUUAAUAUACUCAUUUAACAUUAGAUAUAAUAUUAAAUGCUGUUGUCAACAAAUAUUAAAGGUCAAUAUGACAACACAAUAUUUUAGUGAUAAUGAACACAUUGUGGAUAAUUAAUGAGGUAUGUAUUUAUAAUACAUUAUAUGUUUUGUGCUGAAUAUUUAUUGAUGGGGAUCAGGGUUCUUUUUUUGCAAAAUAUGUCCAC